UACAGAGGAGCCAAGCGUUGUCCGGAUUGACUGGGCGUAAAGCGCACGCAGGCGGACGCGCGCGUGGGGUGUGAAAUCUGGCCGCUUAACGGCCAGGCGCCAUCCCAUACGGCGCGACUGGAGUGAUGCAGAGGUCGAUGGAAUUGCCGGUGUAGUGGUGAAAUUCGUAGAUAUUCGCAAGAACACCAGUGGCGAAGGCGGCUUACUGGUCCGGUUCUGACGCUGAGGCGCGAAAGCGUGGGGAGCAAACAGG
rnacentral:rRNA from 1 species